rnacentral:rRNA from 1 species
UACGAAGGGGGCUAGCGUUGCUCGGAAUCACUGGGCGUAAAGGGUGCGUAGGCGGGUCUUUAAGUCCGGGGUGAAAUCCUGGAGCUCAACUCCAGAACUGCCUUUGAUACUGAGGAGCUUGAGUCCGGGAGAGGUGAGUGGAACUGCGAGUGCAGAGGUGAAAUUCGUAGAUAUUCGCAAGAACACCAGUGGCGAAGGCGGCUCACUGGCCCGGUACUGACGCUGAGGUGCGAAAGCGUGGGGAGCAAACAGG